AUACGAAGGGGGCUAGCGUUGUUCGGAAUUACUGGGCGUAAAGGGCGCGUAGGCGGCCGUCUAAGUUAGGUGUGAAAGUCCUGGGCUCAACCUGGGGACUGCACUUAAUACUGGAUGGCUUGAAUUCGGGAGAGGAUAGCGGAAUUCCCAGUGUAGAGGUGAAAUUCGUAGAUAUUGGGAAGAACACCGGUGGCGAAGGCGGCUAUCUGGACCGACAUUGACGCUGAGGCGCGAAAGCGUGGGGAGCAAACAGGAUUAGAUACCCUGGUAGUCCACGCCGUAAACGAUGAGUGCUAGACGUUGGGAAGCUUAGCUUUUCAGUGUCGCAGCUAACGCAUUAAGCACUCCGCCUGGGGAGUACGGUCGCAAGAUUAAA
rnacentral:rRNA from 1 species